rnacentral:rRNA from 1 species
UGGGAUAACCUGCCGAAAGGCAGACUAAUACCGCAUAGUCUUCGAUGACGGCAUCAGAUUUGAAGUAAAGAUUUAUCGGUAAUGGAUGGGGAUGCGUCUGAUUAGCUUGUUGGCGGGGUAACGGCCCACCAAGGCGACGAUCAGUAGGGGUUCUGAGAGGAAGGUCCCCCACAUUGGAACUGAGACACGGUCCAAACUCCUACGGGAGGCAGCAGCC